rnacentral:rRNA from 1 species
GAUGAACGCUAGCGGGAGGCCUAACACAUGCAAGCCGAGCGGUAGAAUCUUUUCGGAGAUUUGAGAGCGGCGUACGGGUGAGGAACACGUGUGCAACCUGCCUUUAUCUGGGAGAUAGCCUUUCGAAAGGAAGAUUAAUAUCCCAUAAUAUAUUGAGUGGCAUCACUUAAUAUUGAAAGCUCCGGCGGAUAGAGAUGGGCACGCGCAAGAUUGGAUAGUUGGUGAGGUAACGGCUCACCAAGUCUACGAUCUUUAGGGGGCCUGAGAGGGUGAUCCCCCACACUGGUACUGAGACACGGACCAGACUCCUACGGGAGGCAGCAGUGAGGAAUAUUGGACAAUGGGUGCAAGCCUGAUCCAGCCAUCCCGCCUGAAGGAUUAAGGUCCUAUGGAUUGUAAACUUCUUUUAUACAGGGAUAAACCUCUCCUCGUGAGGAGAGCUGAAGGUACCGUAUGAAUAAGCACCGGCUAACUCCGUGCCAGCCGCCGCCGUAA